rnacentral:rRNA from 1 species
GCUGAACUUAAGCAUAUCAAUAAGCGGAGGAAAAGAAACCAACAGGGGAUGCCCUAGUAACGGCGAGUGAAGCGGCAACAGCUCAAAUUUGAAAUCUGGCGCAAGCCCGAGUUGUAAUUUGUAGAGGAUGCUUCUGGGUAGCGACCGAUCUAAGUUCCUUGGAACAGGACGUCAUAGAGGGUGAGAAUCCCGUAUGUGACCGGCCCGCACCCUUUACGUAGCUCCUUCGACGAGUCGAGUUGUUUGGGAAUGCAGCUCUAAAUGGGAGGUAAAUUUCUUCUAAAGCUAAAUACCGGCCAGAGACCGAUAGCGCACAAGUAGAGUGAUCGAAAGAUGAAAAGUACUUUGGAAAGAGAGUUAAAAAGCACGUGAAAUUGUUGAAAGGGAAGCGCCUGCAACCAGACUUCGCGGCAGUGUUCCGCCGGUCUUCUGACCGGUUCAUUCUCUGUCGCGAGGCCAUCAUCGUCUGGGCCCGCCGGAUAAGACCUUAGGAAUGUAGCUCACCUUCGGGGGAGUGUUAUAGCCUAGGGUGAUGCGGCGAGGCUCGGGCGAGGUCCGCGCUUCGGCAAGGAUGAUGGCGUAAUGGUUGUCGGCGGCCCGUCUUGAAACACGGACCAAGGAGUCUAACAUCUAUGCGAGUGUUCGGGUGUCAAACCCCUACGCGUAAUGAAAGUGAACGGAGGUGGGAACCGCAAGGUGCACCAUCGACCGAUCCUGAUGUCCUCGGAUGGAUUUGAGUAAGAGCAUAGCUGUUGGGACCCGAAAGAUGGUGAACUAUGCCUGAAUAGGGUGAAGCCAGAGGAAACUCUGGUGGAGGCUCGCAGCGGUUCUGACGUGCAAAUCGAUCGUCAAAUUUGGGUAUAGGGGCGAAAGACUAAUCGAACCAUCUAGUAGCUGGUCC